GGAUGAACGCUGGCGGCGUGCCUAAUACAUGCAAGUCGAGCGAACAGCUAAGGCGCUUGCUCCUUUGACGUUAGCGGCGGACGGGUGAGUAACACGUGGGUAACCUACCUAUAAGACUGGAAUAACUCCGGGAAACCGGGGCUAAUGCCGGAUAACAUUUAGAACCGCAUGGUUCUAAAGUGAAAGAUGGUUUUGCUAUCACUUAUAGAUGGACCCGCGCCGUAUUAGCUAGUUGGUAAGGUAACGGCUUACCAAGGCAACGAUACGUAGCCGACCUGAGAGGGUGAUCGGCCACACUGGAACUGAGACACGGUCCAGACUCCUACGGGAGGCAGCAGUAGGGAAUCUUCCGCAAUGGGCGAAAGCCUGACGGAGCAACGCCGCGUGAGUGAUGAAGGGCUGCGGAUCGUAAAACUCUGUUAUUAGGGAAGAACAAAUGUGUAAGUAACUGUGCACGUCUUGACGGUACCUAAGCAGAAAGCCACGGCUAACUACGU
rnacentral:rRNA from 1 species